UUGGCUCAGGAUGAACGCUGGCGGCGUGCUUAACACAUGCAAGUCGAACGGGGAAUUUUGCUUCGGCAGGAUUCCUAGUGGCGAACGGGUGAGUAACGCGUAGGCAACCUGCCCUUCAGACGGGGACAACAUUCCGAAAGGGAUGCUAAUACCGGAUACGAAGCUUCUGCCGCAUGACGGAAGCUUGAAAGGUGCCCUCAAGCACCGCUGAAGGAUGGGCCUGCGUCCGAUUAGCUGGUUGGUGGGGUAACGGCUCACCAAGGCGACGAUCGGUAGCCGGUCUGAGAGGAUGAACGGCCACAUUGGGACUGAGACACGGCCCAGACUCCUACGGGAGGCAGCAGUGGGA
rnacentral:rRNA from 1 species